GCUGGCGGCGUGCCUAAUACAUGCAAGUCGAGCGAACGGACGAGAAGCUUGCUUCUCUGAUGUUAGCGGCGGACGGGUGAGUAACACGUGGAUAACCUACCUAUAAGACUGGGAUAACUUCGGGAAACCGGAGCUAAUACCGGAUAAUAUUUUGAACCGCAUGGUUCAAAAGUGAAAGACGGUCUUGCUGUCACUUAUAGAUGGAUCCGCGCUGCAUUAGCUAGUUGGUAAGGUAACGGCUUACCAAGGCAACGAUGCAUAGCCGACCUGAGAGGGUGAUCGGCCACACUGGAACUGAGACACGGUCCAGACUCCUACGGGAGGCAGCAGUAGGGAAUCUUCCGCAAUGGGCGAAAGCCUGACGGAGCAACGCCGCGUGAGUGAUGAAGGUCUUCGGAUCGUAAAACUCUGUUAUUAGGGAAGAACAUAUGUGUAAGUAACUGUGCACAUCUUGACGGUACCUAAUCAGAAAGCCACGGCUAACUACGUGCCAGCAGCCGCGGUAAUACGUAGGUGGCAAGCGUUAUCCGGAAUUAUUGGGCGUAAAGCGCGCGUAGGCGGUUUUUUAAGUCUGAUGUGAAAGCCCACGGCUCAACCGUGGAGGGUCAUUGGAAACUGGAAAACUUGAGUGCAGAAGAGGAAAGUGGAAUUCCAUGUGUAGCGGUGAAAUGCGCAGAGAUAUGGAGGAACACCAGUGGCGAAGGCGACUUUCUGGUCUGUAACUGACGCUGAUGUGCGAAAGCGUGGGGAUCAAACAGGAUUAGAUACCCUGGUAGUCCACGCCAUAAACGAUGAGUGCUAAGUGUUAGGGGGUUUCCGCCCCUUAGUGCUGCAGCUAACGCAUUAAGCACUCCGCCUGGGGAGUACGACCGCAAGGUUGAAACUCAAAGGAAUUGACGGGGAC
rnacentral:rRNA from 1 species